CUCGAUCGUGUUAGCAUCGCUCUGAUCAAAACCAUUCAAACAUCUAGCCAUGUGCCUCCCAUCCUCCUCCACAUUGGCUCUAAUCAUAACCAUCCUCCAUCUCUUUAUAACUCGUCACGCUCUGGUACCUUAGAUGAGGCCUGCACUUAAGUAGAGAUCCCGGUAGUAGUGACUUGGUACAAAUCGUCGUCUCAGGACUCUCUUCAUCUCAUUCCAAGUUCAAUAGGACGUUCUCAUUCCACCUCCUAUUGGAUGACCAAAACUUGAUCCCACACACAAUAGCAUAGUCAGUUAAAAUUCGGAUUGCGGCAAGCUGUUCUACCUUCUUAAUUCUGAGUAAUUGUGACAACAAAAAUCAACUCCAUCUUAUUUCCCAAUGAGGUAUGCUCGAGAUCACUUUUCCUUGAAAAGCAGGAAUCUUUAUCUGAUACUUCCUAGGUUGUGAUCAAACCACGGUGUCUAGCUCCUCAUCCCUGCCAUAUAUCCGUAGCUGCCCACUGAACAUCCUAUCUAUUCCUCCUCUAUACGUCCCUUCAAACUCAUCCAAAUAUUCCAAUUCUCUUUGGUGACAAUCUACCUCCUAUGGGACAUUUGGAGCAAAGUGGUGGCUGCACCGUUGUGUUCCCUCUUCUGCCCAUAUCCAACCUCUCGUGUAUAUGCUCUAACUCUGCAUCAUCAUCCGUCUAAUCUCCCCAUUAUGCUUGUAUUUGUUAGAUUCGGAACACUGUGGGGGAGUUCUUCGCGUGUGAUUUUCUCUUGAUUUCGAGACAUGAUUGAGAUCUGCAACAAGGGUUAGAUAAUAGGGAAAGACCUCACUACACUCCCUUACGUUUUCACUCGAAAGGAUGAUACACCUCGAUUUCUCUCUAGUAUUUUGCCUCAAUUAAUUUUUGACUUUACCUCUUAUAUUCUCACACACCGCCUUUUUCCACUCAUAUUAUUCUUUUAGUCCUUUAAUGCUUAACUACUAACAAAAAGGAUUCAAGUAGCCAAUCAAGAUAAGAAUAAACCAAACGAAUCAGAUUUCCUUUAAGCAAUUCUUUUUCGACUUUUUUUUUGACUCUAACGUGAUGCAAACGAAUUCAAGAGUCAUCCAAUACAGAAUCCAAAAACUAAACCGAAAUCUUAAUCAAGAACGAAGAAAGGGAGCAAUCAAAACAUUUUUUUUACUCUAGCUUGAUGCUGGUCGAAUCAAAGAAUAACCCAAAACAAAAAACCAAACUAAUUGAAACGAAAUUCUCAAUCAAGAACGAAGAUAAGGGAGCAAUCUAACCAAUUUUUUUACUCUAACUUGAUGCAGUUGAUCAAAGACAAUCCGAAACGAGAACCCAAAACAAAUUGAAACCCGAAAUCUCAAUCAAGAACGAGAUAAGGAAGCAAUCUAACCAAUUUUUUUUUUUGAAUCUGGCCAUAUAAAGACUCGAUUUAACAAGAAAAAUCAGAAGAAUGGGCAUGUCAAGAAGAAAAAAAAAUUGAUAGACAAACUGAGGAAUGUAGGGAUCUGAUACCAACUGAUACGAACCACGCACAACGUGACGAAACUCGAUACCAAUCUUAAACAACAAAACCCAAAACUCUUCAAGUUUGAUGGAAAACGCGGGACUGUUGCUUAGCCCAAAGCAAGAACCUUGGUAUGAUGAAGACGCCACAACGGAAUGGAUGAUCUGUUUGAUAAGUCAGGUUUGAACGCCACAAGGAAUCCUGAUAAGUUCAGCUUAGUUUCUGAAAGAGUUCAAGAAGAAAUAAACGCCCAAUCUCUCUAUUUUUACGUGAUUUUCGAAAUUGAUAGCAUACCCUUGUUAUAGCCUUACAAGAUAAAAAAAUCUAAUUUAUCUUAUCUCAACUUAUCUUAAUAAAAGAAAUUUCUAGUUCAAAUUAAGGUUGUCUUUGGAGAUAAGUCAAAUCUGAUCUUAUCUCCAAUCUAAUGAUAAUCCUAAUCAAAAUCUACAUCGAAGAAAUACAAAGAAGUUAAAUCCUAAUCUGAUAUUUAAACUUUUCUGAAUUUGAAAAUUCUGGACUUUGUAAACAAUCAUGCUUGAUUCUUUGCUAGUAAAAAAAACAAAAAGAAAAGGGAGAACACAUCCCUCCGUUAAACCAUGCCCCCGUCGUACAUACCACUACACCCCCAUAACCCCGCACCCAGCUAAACUUCAAUCUUCUUUUAUUCACUUCUCAGCAAACCCCCCCCCCACCUGAUCCCUCUUCCCAUUUCCCGUUCCCGACCCGAUCCCCCCACAUACAUUACGCAUUCCCCUCCUCUCCUCCCUCUCCUAGCCCCUCCUCACCGCCCCCCCUGCCCCCCCCUCCCACCCCCCAUCCCCCCCAUCCACCCCUCCAACCAAUCACCCUCUACAUCGCACCCCACUACGCAUCGCCCAUCAUCAGUCAUCCUGUUCUCAACUUCAUUCCUCUCCCUAUUACCUUUCACCACUCUUGCCCCCCCUCGCAUCCCCCCCUCCUCCCUUUCCCUUCUUUCACCUCUCCCGCCCCCCUUGACUCC
rnacentral:lncRNA from 1 species